UGACACAGCCAUAUCACCCUGCAGCCCAAGACCGGUUACUCACUGAAGCUAAGCAGGGCUGUCAGUGCCUGGAUGGGAGACCACAUGGGAAAACUAGGUUGCUGUUUCAA
rnacentral:rRNA from 1 species